CCUACGGGAGGCAGCAGUGGGGAAUAUUUCACAAUGGGGGAAACCCUGAUGCAGCGACGCCGCGUGAGUGAAGAAGUAUUUCGGUAUGUAAAGCUCUAUCAGUAGGGGAGAAAAUUACGGUACCUGAUUAAGAAGCCCCGGCUAACUACGUGCCAGCAGCCGCGGUAAUACGUAUGUGGCAAGCGUUGUUCGGAAUAACUGGGCGUAAAUGAUGCGUAGGCGGUUAAACAAGUUAUAUGUUAAAUAUAUAGGCUUAACCUGUAGAAAGCAUAUAAAACUGUUUAACUAGAGUGCAGGAGAGGUAAGUGGAAUUCCUAGUGUAGCGGUGAAAUGCGUAGAGAUUAGGAAGAACACCAGUGGCGAAGGCGACUUACUGGACUGUAACUGACGCUGAGGCAUGAGAGCAUGGGGAGCAAACAGGAUUAGAUACCCCAGUAGUC
rnacentral:rRNA from 1 species